AGCGAUGUUCAUUGCAAUCUUUAAUUUGUUCUAAAAAGGGCAGCAAGAAUACUUCUUCAUGACCUUAAGAAUAAUCUUGGUCUUGCUAACGUGCUUCCUAAAACUUGAUGGGAAAUGAAUAUUUUGAGCCACUGUUUUAGAGUAGAAGCCCAUUUAUCCAGUGGAAUCUGGAUGUGGUGAGGAGUGAGUGAGAUGCUGUGUCUGUUGGAUAUUCUCCAUUUGUCCUCCAAAUCCACUCUCCCAUCUUCUACGCACUUCUGUGCCCUAGGUCCUGACAUUUAUCAACCAAAUCAAUGGACAAGUCUACUCUCUGCCUUCGGGAUUGGUUUGGAUCCUGACUGCUACAACAUGAAAAGUCCCUGGCACUAUGCCUGGCACCUAAUAAAUGAGAGUUUCUUCUUUAAAACGAUGCCUGCAAAUGACUUCCUCAAGC
rnacentral:lncRNA from 1 species